ensembl:lncRNA
AUGGCAGAAGGGAGGACACAUAGGAAGAAAAAACCAGAAAAUGGAGAAGUAGAAAAGUGGAGGCCGCUUCUUGGUUAUAUCAGUGUGGAGAGUCUUUUUCAGACGGUCAGCAUCAAUAAAGCUAUUAAUACCCAGGAAGUGGCCGUGAAGGAAAAACAUGCCAGGAAUAUCCUUUUGGACAUUGCCCAGAUGGAGGGAAUCCUGCAGGGGGUCCACAUGUGGGAAGUGGUAGUAGGGGUGGGGGCCUUCUGUCUGGAGAUCCCCUAUCUGGCUUGGGGGGCUGUGAGGCGGGACUGGGGCCUUCUGCCUGGAGAUCCCCUGCCCAGUUUGGAGGGCUAGGUGAUGGGAUAGGGGCCUUCUGCCUGGAGAUCCCCUUCCUGGCUUGGGGGGCUGAGGUGGGGGAGGGGCCUUCCUGUGAUUGGAUCUAGUCUCUGCAAGGCUUGAAGUGCCUCAGUGCUUGGGGCCUGAAUAGAUUCUUGGCUUCAGGAGGAGAGAAGGCUAAAUCUAGAAAGGAGCCUUAGAGGUUCCAGGGUGACUCCCCUGCCCAAGUUUACAUAUGAUCCUGGGUAUCCCCCCCAGCGUUUGCCUUCCCACCCUGUCCCUGCCUCUGGAGAGAUUUUAAAGAACUUUCCAUGGGGUUUUUUAGGGUCCAGAAGAAAUGCUCAGCUACAUUUUCAAGGCCCUGGGCCCGAGGGCGAGCUCUCCUACCCUGCCUUUGUCUUAGGUUUGACCAUGCUGGCCACACACUUGGCACAGCCAGGAGCUUAUGGCUGUCUUGAAGGCCUCUGCCUUGUAGGAUUAGGAGGCUGAGUCCAAUGGAUGCUUCAGGUUAAGAAUGGGUGACCUCCAGUCCUUCAGAACUGCAAGGUGGGGCUCGGUUGAGGAGCCAGGUCUGCUUACGGGGGCCUUUAAGAAGCAAGCAACCCCAGAAAGGGGGAUGGAAAACCCCCCACAGGAGCCAGCAAGCCAGGGCUGAGGAGGGGCAUGUAGAGACCCCAUCAAGUUGGCAGAGGUCCAGGGAGUGCCCACCAGCAUCCAUGUGGCAAGGUAGACAGCAUCCCUGGCAGACAGAAGUCUCGGGCGCAUGUGGACAAGGUAGAACGCAGGAAAGCCGGCACCAGAAGCCCUGAAAAAACAAAAGGAGGUUGCCUGAGAGGCUGAAACACUUAGUCAGGGCCAGGUCCAACACAGAAGGGUCCAGAAGGGGAGAACAGAACAGAACUGGGGAGACAGGGAAGAGUAAGGCUGGGACUGAGGCAAUUCUCAGCAGUCUACAACAUCCUUCUUGCUAUUCUGAGGACACCCAGGCCCCACCAGGAGAGAAGGCAUCUGAAAGGCCCUAGUCCCUGCAUCAGACCUUCCUGAAUUGUGAUGAGUGAGAAAAAGCCUCCUGACUUAGCCAGGAAAAAUGAAAUCACAGCAUCUCUGAGCUGGGAGGAACAGCCAAAGCUUUCUAGUGCAACCUGUACCAGAAUAGGACACCCCCCAACCAGGUGUUAUUCAGCUUCCACUGGAGACCUUCAGCCAUCCAACUGGUUCAUCCACUCUGGGACAACUUUGAUUGUUAGAAAUGUUUUCUCUACGAUGAUCCUAAAGCCAUCUCUCUGUAACCCAUUGGUAGCACUUCUGUCCUCUCAGGCCAAGCAGAGCAAAUUUAAUUCAUCAUCCCCGUGACUUUCAAAUAUUCAAAUGGACCUUAAACCUCAUUGAUGUGGGCAUUCUCUCCAAGAUGAAGAUGUCAACCCAUCCAUGCCUGUCCAUCCCAUGCAACUUGGUCAUGUCUUCCCAUCAUUUCAUCAUGGCGGUGAGAGAUCUACCCAAUAUGGUGGAGGCCUUCCUCUCAUUCUAUACUGGUCUAUCACAUGGGCCACCCAUCAGUUAUUCCUUAUUUAUGCACCAUGAGCAAGUUCUUCAUUCUCUUGUGCCAGAACAGUCCUCUGCUUUCCCUUCUACCUCUUCCCUUGUGUUUUCUUGCCAACAAAGGGCUUUUCCUCACCUGGACCAAGCCACGAAGAUCCCUGUUCCCAGGCCCAUUGUCACAUACACCACUUCAUAAUAAUAACUAGCAUUUACAAAGCCCUUUCAGGUUUGCAAAGCACUUUAUAGAUAUAAUCUCAUUUGAUCUUCACAAUAACCCUGGGGGGAGGGCAGUAGGUGGUGCACCCCCUCCCACCCAUACCCCUCUCCAUUGACCUCUGGGUAAUGAUCAUUUUCAAUUCUUUAGUCACUCUAGUGUCCUACCACUCACAGCCAUCUAAUGCCUACAGGGCAAUGAAAUGUUAACGAAAAGAUGGACCUUUGUUUUAGAGAAAAGACCAGGCUUCUUAAAAAUCGUUUAAAAGACUUCGAAGUUACCCAAAGACAGUCUAAUUCAUUCUCCUCCCACUGAGUUCUGGGCCUCAGUAAGUGUCUGUUUGUGGAGUCUGUUCCAAGAGAUAGUUAGACGACAGAUAGAUAGAUAUAGGUAGACAGACAGACAGACAGACGGACAGGACGACGGACGGACGGACGGACGGACGGACGGACGGACAGACAGACAGACAGACAGAUAGAUAGAUAGAUGGAUAGAUAGAUAGAUAGAUAUAGAUAGAUAGAUAGAUAGAUGGGUGGUGGAUGGAUGGAUAGAUGAGAUAGAUGAAUAGAUAAAUGAGAUAGAUGAAGAGAUGAUAGAGAUAGAUGAAGGAUAGAUGAGAUAGAUGAAAUAGAUAAGAUAAAGGAAUAGAUGAGAUAGACAAUAGAGAAAGAUGAUAAAUGGAUGGAUAGGUAAUACUGAUAGAGAAAUUCUGUAGCAGGAGUCCUUAUCUUUUUUUUGGUGUUGUGGACAGCUUUGGCAGUCUUUUGAAGCCUAUGGACCCCUUCUCAGAAUAGUUUUGUUUUGUUUUGUUUUGUUUUUAGAUGAAGCCAAUAUUUUAUUAAGGUUUCAGUAAACUUACUUAAUGGAAACAUGUAAAUGAAAAAAAAUUUACACUGACCUCAUGACCACCAUCCUAAGCCAUUACAUAGUUUACUAACAAUAAUUGGCAAGAGAGCAACUCAGUAAAAUAACUUAAUCCAGCAGUAUAAUGAAAACACGGUCAGUGGUACUGAAUAUCUCUCUAUAAUUUCACACAAUCAGGGAGCAAGUCACAUUAUGAAAUAAGAGCAUACAGCUAUGCAAAAGACAAGUCAAAAAAGAUAUUGAGCUUCACUACAUCCUUAUUGAAUUGUGCAUAUUCUUUUGUAUAUUGGGUACUUUUAUAAUGCAGUUUCUUUUGUCCUCUCUCCCAUGCCUGAAAAAGUCUAUUUAUACAUACAUAUACAUUUAUAUAUGGCAAAGCUCUCCCAAAUUGUAGAAGUUAGAGUUUCUAAGAGCCUCCUCCUCCUCCCCCUGAAUAGGGGUUAAGGGUUUGGGGUGAGGGAGGAGUACGAAAUGGGAAAGGCAAUCCCACUUAAAGAUAACAGGUGCAAUUUCUUUAAAGAGUGGUAGACAUGAAUGUAUUUACUUCUAGUACACGCUUUGCACAGACUAAUGACUUUUAGUGUGCAUCUCUGUACAGAAUUCCAUUAAUGGCUGUUAACAAAAGGAAGCUGCAAAACCAUGGGAAAUACAGAAUAGUUUUUAAAUACAUAAAAUAAAAUAAAAUACAUGGGAUUACA